AGCGCGGUAAGUCGAGUUCAUGGCGAACUCACUACCAUGUCAAUGGUAUCAACGGCGAAUCCCCUCCUUCGGGAUCGUUGGUUCAAAUCCAACCCGCGCUA
rnacentral:tRNA from 1 species